rnacentral:rRNA from 1 species
AUUGAACGCUGGCGGCAGGCCUAACACAUGCAAGUCGAACGAGUGGCGGACGGGUGAGUAAUGUAUGGGAAACCGCCUGAUGGAGGGGGAUAACUACUGGAAACGGUAGCUAAUACCGCAUACCAUCAGAUGUGCCUAGAUGGGAUUAGCUUGUUGGUGGUGUAACGGCUCACCAAGGCGACGAUCCCUAGCUGGUCUGAGAGGAGGACCAGCCACACUGGGACUGAGACACGGUCCAGACUCCUACGGGAGGCAGCAGUGGGGAAUAUUGCACAAUGGGCGCAAGCCUGAUGCAGCCAUGCCGCGUGUAUGAAGAAGGCCUUCGGGUUGUAAAGUACUUUCAGCGGGGAGGCGUUACCCGCAGAAGAAGCACCGGCUAACUCCGUGCCAGCAGCCGCGGUAAUAC